GAUGAACGCUGGCGGCGUGCUUAACACAUGCAAGUCGAACGGAGUGAAUAAAAUGGAAGUUUCGGAUGGAAGUUUACUUACUUAGUGGCGGACGGGUGAGUAACGCGUGGGUAACCUGCCGUAUACAGGGGGAUAACACUUAGAAAUAGGUGCUAAUACCGCAUAAGCGCACAGCUUUGCAUGAAGCAGUGUGAAAAGCCGAGACGGUAUACGAUGGACCCGCGUCUGAUUAGCUGGUUGGUGGGGGUAGAGGCCUACCAAGGCGACGAUCAGUAGCCGGCCUGAGAGGGUGACCGGCCACAUUGGGACUGAGACACGGCCCAAACUCCUACGGGAGGCAGCAGUGGGGAAUAUUGCACAAUGGGGGAAACCCUGAUGCAGCGACGCCGCGUGAGUGAAGAAGUAUUUCGGUAUGUAAAGCUCUAUCAGCAGGGAAGAAAAUGACGGUACCUGACUAAGAAGCCCCGGCUAACUACGUG
rnacentral:rRNA from 1 species